UAGGGAAUCUUCCGCAAUGGGCGAAAGCCUGCCGGAGCAACGCCGCGUGAGUGAUGACGGUCUUCGGAUCGUAAAACUCUGUUCUCAGGGAAGAACAAAUGUGUAAGUAACUAUGCACGUCUUGACGGUACCUAAUCAGAAAGCCACGGCUAACUACGUGCCAGCAGCCGCGGUAAUACGGAGGUGGCAAGCGUUAUCCGGAUUUAUUGGGCGUAAAGCGCGCGUAGGCGGUUUUUUAAGUCUGAUGUGAAAGCCGACGGCUCAACCGUGGGGGGUCAUUGGAGCCUGGAGAACUGGGGUGCAGAAGAGGAAAGGGGAAAUCGAGGUGUAGCGGUGAAAUGCGCAGAGAUAUGGAGGAACACCAGUGGGGAAGGAGACAUUCUGGUCUGAAACAGAAGCUGAUGUGCGAAAACGGGGGGAUCAGACAGG
rnacentral:rRNA from 1 species